ACCUGGGUGGCUCAGUUGGUUGAGCAUCUGACUUCGGCCCAGGUCAUGUUCCCAUACUUCGUGGGUUCCAGUCCCACAUCAGGCU
rnacentral:tRNA from 1 species